UGUCGCUUGCCCCUCCCCCUCCAUCGCCCCUCCCCCAACCAAUCUUGCCCACACCGCAGAUGCAUCCUCCGCCCCAAACGACGGCGAUAGGGAUGCCGACGCCCUAACCCACGUCUCCUUCCACCUCCCCCAACUCGUCUUCUCGCCGGCUACUUUGGAGGAGCCUCCUUUUGCACGCCACCGUGGCCGGGCUGCGGCGACCACCAGAGGUCCGCCGCCGCCAGGAUCUCCCUCCUUCUCCACUACGAGGCACCAGCAGAGGGGGGCGACUCCUCCUUCCAUCCCUAGUCGCGGCCUCCAACCUCUAACGCCGCUUGAAACCCUAGCCCGAAUCCGGCAGAGGCAGUUGAAGGAAGGGGGCGGGCCAUGGACAAGCUGCAAGGUGGGGGCCUGAAGCCAUGGAUGGAUGUGUUUGGGACGGUGAGGAGGCACCCAACCGAGCGGCGGGCAAGGAUGAAGUGAAGUUGAGCGCACCGUCGUUAUAUCCCUUCUCCGUCUGCUGUUACUGGAAGCAAGCACAGUACCAUCUCAUCUCAUCCACUAGAAGCUAUUUUUGGCUUACCCGAAGGGAUGCAUGCUCUUCAUCUUGCAGGUAUGACUCAUCCUCGCAUUCUUACUUCGCCUUUGUUUCCUUCAGCUUAUUGAUCCUGAAAUUUUAAGAUAAGUUAAGGAGGGGACUCGGCCUUCUUCACGGCUCGCGGCAGUGUCUCUCGUUGAUUUGUUCGUGCAACAAGGAGGGGACCCGCCCUUCUUCAUGUCUUGUGCAACUAGGGUGAUCGACGCGGACUACCGCUGCCCGGUGGGCGUCGUGCUCUUCAACCACUCGGAGGUGGACUUUGCCGUGAAGUCCGGUGACCGCGUCGCACAGAUGAUCGUCCAGGUGAUCGCGACGCCGGAGGCCGCUGAGGUGGAGGACCUCGAUAGCAUCAUUUGGGGGGAGGGAGGAUUCGGGUCCACUAGCGUCUGAACUCUGAGCCUUCGUAAAUACAUCUAGAGAAGUUGUAUGUUUAGGCUACUGGUGGAACACUAGGAAAGGUACCUACCUUUGGUUGUGUGUGUUUACUAUUAAAUGGAAUCACAUGAUCUCUUGUGGUUGAGAUGUUCAAUGUUGCAUCCAUGAACGGUGCAAGUGUUAAGAUGGUCAUGUGACCUUAAUUUAUUUUGCAUUGGACA